rnacentral:rRNA from 1 species
CUACGGGCCGCUGCAGUGGGGAAUUUUGGAUAAUGGGGGCAACCCUGAUCCAGCCAUGCCGCGUGAGUGAAGAAGGCCUUCGGGUUGUAAAGCUCUUUCGCAAGGAAAGAAAACUUACCUUUUAAUAAAGGGUGAGGCUGACGGUACCUUGAUAAGAAGCACCGGCUAACUACGUGCCAGCAGCCGCGGUAAUACGUAGGGUGCGAGCGUUAAUCGGAAUUACUGGGCGUAAAGCGUGCGCAGGCGGUUCGACAAGUCUGAUGUGAAAUCCCCGGGCUUAACCUGGGAACUGCGUUGGAAACUGUCGGGCUAGAGUGUAGAAGAGGGGGGUAGAAUUCCACGUGUAGCAGUGAAAUGCGUAGAGAUGUGGAGGAAUACCGAUGGCGAAGGCAGCCCCCUGGGCUAACACUGACGCUCAUGCACGAAAGCGUGGGGAGCAAACAGGAUUAGAUACCCCGGUAGUC